GACGAACGCUGGCGGCGUGCUUAACACAUGCAAGUCGAACGCUGAAGCACCAGCUUGCUGGUGUGGAUGAGUGGCGAACGGGUGAGUAAUACGUGAGUAACCUGCCCUUGACUCUGGGAUAAGCCCGGGAAACUGGGUCUAAUACUGGAUGCUACAUGUCACCGCAUGGUGGUGUGUGGAAAGGGUUUACUGGUCUUGGAUGGGCUCACGGCCUAUCAGCUUGUUGGUGAGGUAAUGGGUCACCAAGGCGACGACGGGUAGCCGGCCUGGGGGGGUGACCGGCCACACUGGGACUGGGACACGGCCCAGAAUCCUACGGGGGGCAGCAGUGGGGAAUAUUGCACAAUGGGCGAGAGCCUGAUGCAGCGACGCCGCGUGGGGGAUGACGGCCUUCGGGUUGUAAACCUCUUUCAGCAGGGAAGAAGCCACAAGUGACGGUACCUGCAGAAGAAGCGCCGGCUAACUACGUG
rnacentral:rRNA from 1 species